CAGCCGCCACGGGAAUACAGAGGGUGCGAGCGUUAAUCGGAUUUACUGGGCGUAAAGCGUGCGUAGGCGGCUUCUUAAGUCGGAUGUGAAAUCCCUGAGCUUAAAUUAGGAAUUGCAUUCGAUACUGGGAAGCUAGAGUAUGGGAGAGGAUGGUAGAAUUCCAGGUGUAGCGGUGAAAUGCGUAGAGAUCUGGAGGAAUACCGAUGGCGAAGGCAGCCAUCUGGCCUAAUACUGACGCUGAGGUACGAAAGCAUGGGGAGCAAACAGGAUUAGAUACCCCAGUAGUCCCUGUCUCUUAUAC
rnacentral:rRNA from 1 species